AUAUUUUGAUUCUUUUAAUAACAUUUCUGAUUACAAAAUAUAGAUGUAACAUCUGGAAGGUACAUAAGUAUAAAUUAGAACACUUGUCGUCUGAACCCUCUACUCUGUGAAAAAAGGAGUCUAUCCAUCGAGAACAAGACUAUUUGGAAUAAGCCAAUUCCUCCAGUUUCAAGCAACUUAAUCCAACCUUAUGUGUCCCAUUUUUUAUUCUUAUAAGGGAAUAAAAGUAACUAAACUUCUAAAGAUCAUAUAUUCAAACGACACUCAGAAGUCUCUUCCUUCCAAUGGCGUUUGGGCACCAAUUAGGCAGCUAUACCUUCGUUAGGGUCUUGUGCGCCCCUCACUCCCUACCAAAAACAAGGUAACGCUAAAAUCUCACAGUAGACUCAAGUGUAAAUAAAAACAUUGUAAUUAUCCUAAGGACAGUCUAUAAUCACCUGAAAGACACUAAAUCAAACAUUAUCCAGCUUUCUCCAAUUUUUGUAAGCAUUACACAAAUCUCCAGUUACAGCGGGACCAUCCUCUUCAUUCUUAGUAACUCAAAUCUACACUUGGAACGCCCGAUGUAACAAAUCUUGAGUCUACACACUUUAUCUCAUCUUUAUUCAGCUUCGUUGCCAAAACACAGAAAUAUAUACUGAAUACUCCUCAAAUGAGACUUGUAUUUCCAAUAGCUUUAAAAAGUUUGGGUUAAGAGCUACGAGAAACGUUACCUAAACUUCACAACUAACUUGUAUCCAAUCUUAAUAGGUACAGGGAGACCCACUCAAUGCUUUCCCCACCCUUUUUGACAUUAAUUCGCGACACACACAAGAAGGAAAGUAAAAAAGAAGUUAGCGACACCAUUAGAGAGGACUUCAAAAUUUGAACUUAAGCAACGUGAAAACGCAAAGCAUCCGCAAUGUCUCCCAGCGGAGUCCAAGACCACCGCCUCGUUGUCGAGUUUCGCCUGAGCUUCCGCUGAGGCAGGAGGUUCAUCCUCCUAGCAAUGAUGAUACCCCGGCGACUGGAAAAGCAAAGGUAGUCUUGGCAGCCAGUGACAAGGAUACGGCAGCUCUCAAAAACCAGAACCUCCAUCCAAGAGCAAAGGCCUCAGCUGGCACCAAGAGCCCCCAGGGAACUGUGAGCCGUCGCAUCCCGUCUCACCCCACCCUACCGACGGGGCAACACUCAGCAAUUGCUAGGCAAAGCGCAACCGAUCUCCAGAACGCGCUCCAGCAAGCCCACCGGGAGAGCCAAAGCCACCUCCUAGCCCCUGUGGGGAAAAUGGCGCCUGUGAACUCGUCUCCCUCCCGG
ensembl:lncRNA